rnacentral:tRNA from 6 species
UCCAACGGUAGAGCGCCGGAUUCCAAAUCCGAUGGUUGGGGGUUCGAAUCCCUCUUGCC